UGGGUAAUUUUGACUUGUUUACAGUUAUCC
rnacentral:piRNA from 1 species